rnacentral:lncRNA from 1 species
CUGCUCCAGAGAAGCAGCCUUUGUUCCUCAGUUCAUCGCAACACUCAGCCUGUCAGUCAGGUUGUGGGAUCCCUCCUAUCCAGGAACUGUAUGCUGUUGUCCCGGUUCUGACACUUUCCCUCUGAGUCCUUGGACACCUUACCUAACCUCUUGGAAGCUCCUGUCUGUGAAGGGUGUGCACAGAGAGCUUCGGUAGCCUGCGAAGCAGCCAUUUUCACUUCCACGGAGCAGAUGCUGGCCUGGGUGCUGGAAUAUGGAAAUGAGGAAGAUCCUGCCUGAGGAUUUCAUGACAGUGCUGCGAUUACCGACGUGAGCCACUGUGCCCAGCCUCACUUUAAAAAAAAAAAAAGGUUAUGAAGCAUCUCAACACAAGACCUCCUUUGCUCAUCACAACCACCCAGUGAAGCAGGCAAGACAACAGAAACUCCCCACCUGUGAUAGAUGUGAGGCCUGAAGUCUCCCACAUACCCACGGCAGAUGCAACGCACAGCGGUGACCAAUGGUGAAGGAUCUAAAACCUGAAAAGAGGCCAAAUGAUUCCUCAAAACCACGCAAGUACGAAGUAGCAGAGCGGAUCUCAAAUCCAGGUGUGUCUGACUUCCAGCCUAAUGGCUUUUCUUAAAAACACCCCCAAACUCUUGGUAACAUCUAUGCAAUGAAAAGGGUUGUCAUGAAAACUGCUUCCCAGUUUGUUAAAUUCUUAUGCAGGUCUCCAGUGUCAGAAACGCUGAGUAUCACUAAUCUCAAGACCUUCUCUCUGCUAUACGAGCUCUGGCAGAGCUUGUCUCCAAGGGCUAGACAGGAAAAAAAAAAUCUGGGUUCAAUUAAAAUAUAUCAAUAAAGAGAACUAAAAGGAGCUCCAAAACGUUGCUGCCCUUCUGCGGGCUGUCUGUGUGUAAUGCCGGCUCCUUCACUCUUUUAUGGCACCAUGAUUGUGUUUUACCCUCCCGACUGUUAACUGCCAACUGUUAACUGUUAACUGCCCAAGGUUGCCCUGCUGAUGUCAUGCCUGACCAUAUGACUUGCUCCAGCCAAUGAAAUGUAAGCAGAAGUGACAUAUGCAGCAUGACCAGUGGAAGCUUCGAAGAGCUAUUGCCAAUUUCCACCCUCUCUCUGGAAACUGUCAUUAGGGUUAGGGAAACUGUCAUGAGAUCUGCAUAUUUUAGAUAGAGGCUGCUUGCCUUAUUUGGGCACCUAAUGAAAAAGACAUGGAGGCCAGGUGCGGUGGCUCAUGUCUGUAAUCCCAGCACUUUGGGAGGCCAAGGCGAGUGGAUCACCUGAGGUCAGGAGUUCGAGACCAGCCUGACCAACAUGGCAAAACCCCGUCUGUACUAAAAGUGCAAACACAAAGGGAACUGCGUGGCUUGUUUCUACCUGAACAUUGUCAAGUGAUUUCAUCCUUUGAAACACAGUUGUGAAGUGUGUCCAGCAGUCUGAGAACAAGAAGAAGAAGAAAAUCUAAUCCUUCAGGGUGUCUGUGUGCCAGCCCUGCUCUCAGCACUUCCCAUGUGGAACUCCUUUACUUCUCCUAACAACUCCAUGACAUGGGUUAGACUGUGAUUGUUCCCAUAUUGUUGGUAGGGAAACUGAGGCAUGCAGGUGUUACAGAGCUCUCUCAAGUGGCAAGCUUUCUGGGUGGUUACAGAGUGGCAGAGCUGGGGUAUCCCAUGAUGUCACCACACUGCUAUAUGGAAAAGAACAUUAAUCGAGCACCUACGUGCUUGAUUCUCUUAAUUCUGUGACUGAACUCUCAAAACACCCUGGGUUGGUUUCCUUUUUACAACUGCCCAAGUCAUGAGUUCAUAGGGCCUGGAUGGCUGUACCGGAUUGCUCUCCAGCUGGUCUCUCUGCAUCCAGAAAUUUCUACAACCUACUGGGGUAAAAUCUUUCUCAACCCUGCUUUUCAUCAUCACAUCUUAAAUAUCUCGAGUUGGUUCCCUAUUGCCAAAAAAAAUCCAUUGUCCAUGUAGGGUUCUUCUGCCGAAACGAGGAAAGAGUGAGUUAAAUGUUGGUAGGUGAUAUAGAGAUAGUAAUUAGGCAAUAUAAUUCGAUGUUGUUGAAAGAGCUGAGCUAUGAAAUGCAUUGUGAUAAAGGGGCUGCCUGUGUAAGUAAAUGGGUAUAAUGAGGUGUAAAACUCCCUUUCUCUCUCUCUUUCUGCUUCAUAAGCCUUUCUGCUUCUCAAGUCCAGACCUGCUGUUUUUGGGGUUUCCUUCCAAUUUUUUUGCUGCUUCCCUGGGGCCUUGGCUCUUGGGCCUGCUGCCUCUUCCCACUCUACACCUUUGGAUUCCUUAUCUUUGGCUCCACCUUAUUGCUCCAUUCUCCAAAGACAAAUCCACAAGGCAUAGGAUUUUACAGAAUAUGGGGUUACAGAAACAGCAUAGGGAAGUGUAAAAGCCUAGAAGCUUCUUACAGACGCAGCCCCUUGUCUGUAGCUCCUGACUCCCACUUAAAUGUCUGUUGGAAGCACCCUGGGGUAGCAGAACCCAGCUCAGAAGAUGGGGCUUAUCCACCAUGCCUUUUCCUAACCUGACACCCACCCAGAUAAUCUUUUCAAUAUGCAAACUAGAGCGUAUCACCCCCUGCUCAGAGCCUUUCUGUGACCUCCCAUUUUGCUUCCCAGGACUCCUUGCUCCUUAGCCAGGUCUCCAGGUCCUCCGUGAUCAGGUCUCUGCUCUUCUGCAGCCUCAUCUCUGCCAUUCUUCACCUUUUGUGCUCCAACCCAAUCUGGUUUUCUUCUCAUGCUUUGAACACCCCAAGUCUGUCUGCUUCAGGAGCUUCGUACUGGCUAAUCAUUCACCACAGCAUACUCCCAUCUAUACGGCUGGCUCUUAUAUUAUGGGUCUCAGCUAAAAUGUCAUCCCUUCAAAGAGACCUUCUUGGACCACCCCCGCCAUUCUCUAUCCUAUUUCUCUCUUUUAUUUUCUUUGAAGCACUUACCCACUUUCAGAAACUAUCUGGCUUGCUCAUGUGUUUGUCUCUAGAUUGUCUACUUCCCCUCCUAGACUGUACUCUCCACAAGAGAGCAAAGCUGUGUCUGUUGCAUUCACUGUUGUCUUCCCAGAAGCAAGCAGCAUGCUGGAGACCCUCAAAUACAUGUGAAAUGAAGGGACACCUUGUGUUAUUUCACCUGUUUCCACCUGGUUCCCAAGUGGCAAGCUUGCAUUGAGGUUACAAAGUGGCAAAGCUGGGAUAUCACAUGAUGUCACCAUGAUGCUAUAUGAAAUGUAACAUUAAUUGAGUACCUAUGUGACCAGUUCUUUAAUUCUGUAAGUGAACUCUCAAAAAACCCUAGGUAAGUAUUAUCAACUCGAACUUUAACGGAUGAGGAAACUGGAAUUUUUUAAAAAAUGACUUAACCAAACAUCACAGAGCUGUAAACCAGGAUUUGAAUGGGUGAGCUGCACUCAGCCUUCAUCUCAAGUCAGUUUGCCUCUUUCUCCAAGAAGCCACAGUUGAUCCUGACCACAUCACAUAUGAGUUGCCUGGAUUGCAGUCAUUCAUUCACUAAGCAUCUUUUAGGAGGUCACAUGCCAGGCACCGUGUUAGGUAAUGAUUUCUCCAAGUCACAGGAGCCGUGGUUCUGACUUUAGAAAGUUUCUCAUCUGAUGGGAGGGCAGGCAAGUAAAUCAGUAAGGGUGGUCCCUGUCGGGACACUGGUUGAGAAAUACCCAGGAACACUCUGAUUGAGAAAUACCCAAAGUGCAAAGUGACAGGGACUAGAGGCAUCUCCACUGGACCAGAGAGCUCUGGAUUCGUCUUGAGCUAAGUCUCUGGAGGUAGGUGUCAGCUACAAGGAGAAAAGCUGUAUAUUUUGAGAUAUGGGAUGCAGGGCCUUUUAGUUCCAUAAAUAAGAGAACUAUGGUGUGAAUACCACAUGCCCUGGGCUGAACUAAGUGGGCUCUAGGGGAAGGUAUACUGGGCAGGGAGUUUGGAGAACUGGUUUCUGUCUAAUCCUUCUCUAACUCUGUGACCUUGAAUGCAUCAUUUCCCCUCUGAGUCUCAGAUUCUCUUUCUGGCUGGCAUUUAAUGAAACCUAAAUAUUCUAGACCUUCUACUUGUUCCAUAAGUGCUCAGUCCUACACUCACUCUCCUCUGGCACCAAUAUACUGAUUACUCAUUUUAUGCCCAGCAGAGCACUGCGUGUUUUGAAAUAUACAAAUAGUGGGAAACGAAAUCUUUGUUCUGGAUGCAGUUAUAAUUUGGAAAGCGAGGAAAUAAAUUAUAACAAGGGGAAAAAACAGACACAGAGGGAUUGAAAUGCAUAACAAUAGAGAUGAAACACGAAGAGUGAUAAAUGAAGAUUGAGUGUGCACACCUUCUGGAGGAGCCCUGAUUGAGUAUUUUAAAAUACUACUAAAGUCAUGCCGUGUGACUUCUGAAGCUAGCUCCUAAGAAGUCCUUGCAGCUUCUGCCUGCGACUCUUAGAACACUUGCUUUGAAGGAUGCCAGAUGCUGUCUUAAAAGUCUGAGCACUCUGAAACCAUCAUGCUGUGAGGAAGCCCAAGCUAACCACAUGGGCAAAAAAGAUGCCCUCUGACUGCCACCAUUUGAGACACUCUAAUUAAGAACUGCCUCAUUGAGCCCAUGAGGCCCUGUGAAUGAUAAUAAUAAAUUGUUUUUAACCACUAUGUUUUUGGAUUUGUUAUAAGUUUAUAGAUAACAAGAAAAAGUUAUAUUAGCAUGGUAAUAAAAUUAUGGAUAUGUGUAAGUUUGGUGUUUUGUUUCUUUUUUUUUUUUACACUAAGCCUAUAUUACUGUUGUAAUUUAGGAAAUCACUUGUUUUCCUCCAGCACUUCAAUGUAAGAGUGGCACUACUUAGAAUGUACUUCUUAAGAUAUGGCU